UGCACGCAGGCCCAGCUCCCGUCGCAGGGGUGAGUAGUGUCUGCCUGAUGACCCCACAGGCUGAGCACUGCUUUUGUGGGACCCAUUCCUGGGAAAUGGAAAUAUUUCUCGUAAGGUCCCCUGAGAAUGGAGAAGAAACUUAGAGGAGACACUAAGUCCCUGGAGGCAUCCAAGCACAUGGAGAAGAUGCCGAGUGAUCUGGAGAGACGUGAUGCAGCCGGCCCCACAACAAAUGCUGACAACAUCUGGGAAAGCACGAGAAGAGUUUUCUGCUGGGGAACACCUUGUUUGAAAAAGGUGAUGGCCAUUGUGGCUGGUGCAGCACUUUGCCUGAUGAUGUGCUGUGCCGCAAUCUGGUAUUGCUGGAAGAGAAACUGGCAUCUCAUUGAAGAAAAACUGAAAGCUGCUGGCUGGACACAAGAUCUCUUCUGCUGGAAGAGCAAUAGCAGCAUCUCUGACUCGGACGAGUUUUACUUUUAGCUCCUCCAAGCUGUACUGUGACUUCAGGCCCCCUCCUUCCAGGGCCGAAGGCGAACGCCUCCAGGAAAGGCUGUGGGAAGUUCUCAAGUGAAGAUUGAGAGCUUCCAAAGUCAGCUUCAAAAUUUUCAAAGUAGUUUUGGAAUACUGUUAAAACAACCCUAUUUUCUAUUAGCUUUUCAUUUUUAGAAAUAUUUUCUGUAGAGACAAAUCCUCCAAUGUUUCUUCCAAGUUUCCACAACAUGUCUGUGUUUUUGAAAGUAGUUUUACAGUUCUGGAAAGGUUUUUUUGCACUUAUACAAUAAAAAAUAAAAUAAAA